rnacentral:rRNA from 1 species
UAGGGAAUCUUCCACAAUGGACGCAAGUCUGAUGGAGCAACGCCGCGUGAGUGAAGAAGGUUUUCGGACCGUAAAGCUCUGUUGUUGGUGAAGAAGGAUAGAGGUAGUAACUGGCCUUUAUUUGACGGUAAUCAACCAGAAAGUCACGGCUAACUACGUGCCAGCAGCCGCGGUAAUACGUAGGUGGCAAGCGUUGUCCGGAUUUAUUGGGCGUAAAGCGAGCGCAGGCGGAAGAAUAAGUCUGAUGUGAAAGCCCUCGGCUUAACCGAGGAAUUGCAUCGGAAACUGUUUUUCUUGAGUGCAGAAGAGGAGAGUAGAACUCCAUGUGUAGCGGUGGAAUGCGUAGAUAUAUGGAAGAAUACCAGUGGCGAAGGCGGCUCUCUGGUCUGCAACUGACGCUGAGGCUCGAAAGCAUGGGUAGCGAACAGGAUUAGAUACCCUGGUAGUCCAUGC